GGAUCAUGGCUCAGUGGUAGAGCAUUUGCCUCAUAUGUGUGAGACACUGGGUUCUAUUCUCAGUACCA
rnacentral:tRNA from 1 species